ACCCUCGUAGCUCAGCGGAGAGAGCACCGGGUUCCGGACCCGGGGGCCGGCGGUUCGAUUCCGUCCGGGGGUA
rnacentral:tRNA from 1 species